AUCGAACGCUGGCGGCAGGCCUAACACAUGCAAGUCGAGCGAGCGGCGGACGGGUGAGUAAUGUAUGGGGACUGCACGAUAGAGGGGGAUAACUACUGGAAACGGUGGCUAAUACAGCAUACUAUCGGAUAACCCAUAUGGGAUUAGCUAGUAGGCGGGGUAAAGGCUCACCUAGGCGACGAUCUCUAGCUGGUCUGAGAGGAUGAUCAGCCACACUGGGACUGAGACACGGCCCAGACUCCUACGGAUGCAGCAGUGGGGAAUAUUGCACAGUGUGCGCAAACCUGAUGCAGCCAUGCCGCGUGUAUGAAGAAGGCCUUAGGGUUGUAAAGUACUUUCAGCGGGGAGGCGUUACCCUCAGAAUAAGCACCGGCUAACUCCGUGCCAGCAGCCGCGGUAAUUC
rnacentral:rRNA from 1 species